rnacentral:lncRNA from 1 species
UUGACCCAGGAGAGAGGAAGAGGAGAGGAGAGUUGGAGAGAGAUUGAGAGUAGAGGGAAGAGGUGGUGGGUGAGAUGAGAGUGACAGGUAGAGAGAUGGGAAAGGGUGGCAGUAGUCUAACUUGUAGCCUCUCAUGCACUUAUCAGCUAACUGGACUAAAUAUGUUUUUUUCCCCUCUUGCAUCUUGUAGUUUUUCUUCCAUUUAUACUUUGCGAGGUUACUUUUUCAAGGAUUUCUCAAACUAUAUAUUUAUGGUACCUUGGCACCCUCUUUAUUUUUCAACUGCUUACAUCAUAUGUAUAGAUCGGUGCUCAGGGAAGAGGAGGUGCAUGAGAGUGGACAGGCAGAGAGAUGGGAAAAGGGUGACAGCAGUUCUCAACUGCUAACGAUCAUUGACGAUUUGUUCACCUUUUUGAACGUUUUACACCAUUAUUAAUUAAUCCCAUAGUUCGCCAUAACCUGUCAUGGACUUUAUGUUCAUUAGCUUCUACAUGAUUUGUCAGUAGGCAUACGAAAAUUUUUCUUUUAUUCUGGCUCUCUUACAUAUUUAAUCCUAUGUGGUGAAAUCUUUCUGUUCUGGUAGUAUAAAUAAAACUAUCUGAAAUUUUGUUGACACAGGGACAUAACUACUACCUUCCCAAGCUUCGUCUUCCACUCUCAAGUCGAUGACACCUGACGUUCCCGAUCUUCAUGCAACUCCAAAAGCGAGCUUUAUGUGUUUCUGCAAUGGUUUAUUAAACUGAUUUAGAUUGUGCGAGCACCAUUAGGUUAGUAAAGUGCGAAGAGAGAUUGUGUUCUUUUCUAAUUUUCUCCGCAAUAACCUUUUUAAGUCUUUGUGGUUUGUAUUGUGGGAUUAUUGUUUCCGUCUUUUUGUUGGUUCUGUAAUUUUGUACAAAAAAACUGAAUUGUGUCCAGUGGAUUGCAUUUCAAGUCUAAAAAAAAAAAAAAAAAAACUUGUUAUUCCAAAGUUUUUGAGGAAAGCACUUCUUUCUGCUUUCACAAGCCUGUAUCAACUAAUCCCCCCUCCCCCCCCCCCCCCCCCCCCGCCAGCCCCCCCCCCCCCCCUCUCCCCCCCUCCCCCCCCAGCCCCCCCCCCCCCCCCCCCCCCCCCCCCCCCCCCCCCCCGCCCCCCCCCCCCCCCCCCCCCCCCCUUAACCCCUCCCCCCCCCCGCCCCCCCCCCCCCCCCCCCCAACCCACCCCCCCCCCACCCCCCCCCAACCAUCAAAGUGCUUCACUAUUGUGAUUACCAUAUGCACCACAAAAGUGCUUCCUUGUAAAGUCCUUUCAUUUUAAGUGCUUUCCGAAAAGCCGAUGAGAACUGCAGGAAAAAAGCCACCGUCCAAGUGUGGAUUAAUAAAGAGAGCAUGCGAGGUCAAACCAUGAUCCAAGAAUCAAAGGAGUAUCUUGCCAAACAUAUAUGAGAUCUUUGAUAGUCAAGUUGAUGGUGAAGUUAAUUCGCAUAAUUCUAAGAAUCUCAAUCAACAUCCUUUUCUUGAUCCCCAACCACUGAUCUUAUUUUGAACAUAAUGAGAAUCUUGUACAUUGGCAGUUGCAGGGCACAUUUGUAUGCUAGUUUUUUGCAUUACUAGUGAAUAGUAUUAGCAAGUUACCUAGUGGUAACUUGUACACAGUGAAAAUUUUCUUUUACAAAUGAAACCACAAGCUUGUCAUUAUUUUUCAGGAUAAUGGUUUCCAUCUAUGUAAGGUGAUUGAUGAUCCUUUUUAUUUUUUUAAAAAAAAGACUUCGAGAUUGCACAAUAUACUGAUAAAUUUACACCAUAUCAACUACCGCAUUUAUGCUGGGCGAAUAAAUAUGAUAUGCCGAAUAAGAUAUUUACGCAUCCAAACAGAUUCUCGAGGAUUUCCUAGUGGUUAUCUGAAUUACAACUGUAUAUAUACACAGACCCAAGCAUAGGACCAAAGAAGGAGCUGUUUCAUAUUCUUUUCUAAUCACAAGAGACAACUAUUUUACCACCAAGAUGGCUCCAGGAUAACAGUCAUCACUGAUAAUUUAACUACCCCACAAUUCAAAAGGUGGGCCAAACCUCACCAUCCUGAAACACCCAGCCUUGCCUUUUUGGCUGGAUUCAACUCCAACUGUUCUGCAGAAACAUGUCUACCAACAAUUCUGAAUGAAAAUUGGCCCCUCCCCUCACAUGUAUGCAAUGGACUUUUCCUCUGUCUCUCUCCUCUUACACUCUUUCCACCACUUCUUUCUAUUUAUAGGCUAGUAUUGAGGUUCCCCAUUAUGAGAGAGAUCUAGAGAGAGAGAGACAGAGAUCUAGAGAGAGAGAGAGAGAGAGAGAGAGAGGAACUCCACAGGUAUGCCUCUGUAUCUCUUAGCUAGUGUUUCAUCAAUUUCAUUAUUAUAUAUACUUCUUUGUAUGAUGUGAAGUUCUAUUUGGUUCUGCUGGAGUCUCUGCAUAAGUACUGUUUCUGCGAAACAUCUACUGAAUUAAAAGUCACUUGCAAUUUUUUUUAAUCAAAAACUCCCAAAAAGCAAAUCUUUGUACUUGAUGAUUCCGCUUGUAAGAUCCAGAAGCUCAUUCUACUUUUCUAUGUCAUAGAAAAAACUUGCUUCUUGGAAUCGCAAAGUAGCUAAUGAAGAUGUGGCUUGAAUUUGAUUUGGUUGAUUAGUUAAUGGCUUGCUGAUUAUGUGUGCUUUGUAGGUUUUGGGAUGCUUACUUAUUUAAGCAAUAGCAGUCAGAAGAGAGAGGCCAUUCCAUCAGUGGAAUUAAGUGGUCUGCCUGGCUCCCUGAAUGCCAUCUGGGAAGCUUGUCAAAUUGGUUGACAUGCCUCCUGGUUGGCAGUUGGGGAGCCAUGCAGGUCUAAUUUUUGCCUCAUCACCAUAUACAGCAAUAUUGGAGGUGCUCUUGUAUUAAAAACCCUCUCUCUCUCUCUGUUUUCUCUUCUCUCUUCUCUUCUCUUCCUGUUUAACUAAUUAUAUGAUACUAUAUAUAUAUAUAUUUUUUUUUUGAGAGAUAGGUAGCACGUGCACGGCUACCUGUUCGUUUAUUUCAUUUUAAAAGUAAAACUUAGCUAGAAAUGUGAAUCAACUAGGAUUCGAACUUGGGUCUCAGGUAUCAAUGUUAGUUCAGAUGGUAUUGCAUUACUUUCGGCUAUGCUAGGAUGCAUGAGUAUCUCAUUCCAGUUAUACCAUCAUGUUUGGAUGGAUGAAAUAUAGGAAAACUUCAAAUACCACCCCUGUGGUUUCGCAUUUUUUCACGUUAGUACUCCGUGGUUUCGCACUUUCUCACUUUAGUACCGUGUGGUUUAAAGUGUAUUAAUUUACUACCAUGUGGUUUCAUUUUUCUCUUUCCGUCGGCUCCUCUGUUAAUAUUUCGUUAAAUUAUAUAUAAAAAAACUUCAGAUACCCUAUCUAGGUUUAUCGAAUAUUUACUUUAGUACCUUGAGUUUUUAACUUUGUCGCUGAUUUUUUUUCCUCUAUUAAUAUUUCGUUAAAUUAUAUACAAAAAAACUUCAGAUAUCCUACCUAGUUUUAUCGAAUAUUCAUUUUAGUACCCUUUAAUUUUAACUUUGUCACUGAUUUAACGAAAAAAAUUAGUGAAAUGAAUAAUAAAAAGAGAAAAAUGAAACCACAGGGUAUUAACUUGAUACACUUUAAACCACAGGAUAUUAAAGUGAGAAAGUGCGAAACCACAUGGGAUAACUUGAUAUACUUUAAACCACAGGGUACUAAAGUAAAAAAGUGUGAAACCACGGGGGGUAUUUGAAGUUUAUCCAUGAAUAUAUUAUGCCGGAUGUAUCUUUGUUUUACUCAAGAAGUUGUAGUAUUUGCUAAACAAGAAAUAUGAUCAGAUUUUAGAAUAAAAUAACAUAUUUUACUCUCUAGUCAAUUUUUCGAAAUAAGAUAAAUUGCUUUGUAGGUUGAAAUAUGUUACCCUAUAAAAUCCUAAAUGACAUAUCUUUUCAUGGGCAAAUAUAUCAUACAAGAAAACUUUUACUCAAACGGGAUUUUGUGUCUUCUUUGGUAAAUUUGAUGAUCCUUUGUCAUACUUGUUAUUUCUUUAACUGUACCUUUUGUUUUUCUUUUCUUUUACUUUUAUUUUGAUUGAUAAAUAAAACAAUACAUAAAAGGAAAAGUUAGAUUCGGGGUAAAUAAAAGGUUGAAAUUGAGAGAAAAAAAAAAAAGUUAAAAUGAGAAUCUGGAUAUUAAAAAUAGAAGCUAGCUCUAAUUUAAAACUGUUGGGUUACAUAACGACUGAAUCAACGGUCGAGGUUUGGACUUGCAUAUAGAGAUAUGCUUACUACCUAUAGUAGUAUAGGAAUCAUAUAUAUUUUUAUCAGAUCAGUGUAUUUUGUGUGCCGCAUCAUCACUCUUGGAAAUAAAUAAAUAAAUAAAUUAUUUAUUGCACUUACCCUACACACAAUGGCCUCUCCGCAACUCCAAAGAGAGCUUAAGCUCCGUUUGAGAUUGCGAAAAGACUGCGUUAUAUACGGUAAAAAAGUACGGCGAAAAAAAUACUCUGUUUGUUUCCGUACGUAAUAUUACGUUCCCCAUAUUUCUAGUAGUCGAUUAUGAUAUAUUUUCUACGAUUCCACCAGAAAACAUAGAAAUAUAUAUAUUUUUAUAUACUUUUAUCUUAACUCUAUUUUAUCUAAUAUCGCCAGAUAGAGCUCAAUAUUAAGCUAAACCUUAAUGGAAUGAUCUUAGAAUGUUCUUUUAAGCUUCUAUGGCGCAAUUAAUUAAAUUAAAUCUUAACAUUUUAAUUAAUUAUUCAAAAAAUAGUCGGUUAAUUAACUACUAAUCUUCGAUUAGCUGUACAUGUAGGCCGAGUCAACACGCCAUAUAUGUACAGUGAUUUAUUUCAAAGUGGGGUGGAUACAGCAGCGACUUAUUCGGAAGUGGGAAAAUUAGAUAUUAUUAAUUGGUUGUGGAAAUUGAAAAGUGCUUUUCGAGGAAGCUGCAGUAAAAGUCCAUCGAUCUACCAAAACCAAACCACUAAUAAAAUGAACUACGACGCGUCGUUAUCUUACCCGCGACGAGAAUUUAACAUUCCAUGCACGUUUGUACGUAUAAUAGUUGUAUUUUAUUUUAUUAUUAUAAUAAUUAUAAGGUAAAAUAAUGUCGAAUAAAAAUAUUUUUCUUGUUUUUUUUAAGUGAUUAGUCAACACACACGCAUUACACUUUUCCUUGGUGAUAACUUAUUUACCAAGUCCCCCAAAAAAAAAAUAAUAAUAAUAAUAAUAAUCAUCGCUAAUUAAAAAAAUAAAAGAUAUAUAAUAAGUUGCACCAAGUAUGGCUGUCUUUUUUUUCUUUUUUUUUGAGUAUAUAUUGCCAUUUAUGCUAAAUAUCUGCACGUAACGUUAAUCAGUUACAAAUACUAUAUCACUGACUCAUAUGUUGUCGGAUAGUUAGAUAACCAGGAGGUGUUGAUAAUAUCAAAUAGAAAUUAAAAAUGGUAUGAGAGAAAGAAAUUUUAUUUAUGAAUCUUUUUCUUACUAAACAUACAAAUACAUUAAAUAAGUGUUACGACAGAGAAGCCGAAUAAUACAAAAACAAUAGGCAAAAUUUUGUAUCAUCAUAUGAAAAUUACCAAAUCUGAUAUCGACAUCAGUAUGUUUACAUAAUCGAUGCAAAUAUUCGCGAUUUCGAAUUUGUUUCUAAUCAUACACAAUAACAGGAUUAUAUUGAGGGUACCAUGACGAGGUACUCAUUUUGGCUCACUUGAUUCACCCUUUGAUUCUUUUUCUUUCUUAUCAUCCUUUUAAUCCCUCUAUUUAUGCUAUAUCUGCAUAUUCCUACUUCUUUCUCAACUUUAUUGUCAACUUUAACUGCGAUUCUACACCAUCUCCUUCCAUUACCAAGUGAUCCCUAUCUCGCUUCUAAUGCGACUGAUCGAUCCCUGUCGACUGUGCUCGUAUCGUUGUAACGCAAAAUUCGAUAAUUGUCGAUUACUUUAAACCACACACAUUUUUCAUUAAAUAAGAAUUCAUACAACUCUCGUUUGAUCAUGUAUGCUUACCAUGUAUUGACGCCGACUACGAAUUUGCUUUACCCGGCAUUUUCGCACUCAUCUGCCCACUUGAUAACAGAUCAUUCUUGCUGCAACAUUAUACAUUUGUUCAAAAUUAACAAAGAUACAAAGAAAUUCGAUGUUGAUUAUGGAAGAUCGAUCGAUUUAACAGCAUUAAUUCUACUCUGUGAAAACAAAAUAAUCUCAUCUAUAAAAAAAAAAAAAGCACGCAGUCUAUAUUUUCGAAAUUUAGAAUCAAACUACCAAAGAAAAAACUAAAUUUGGUUUAUUGGAAAAAAAUAAACCACUUCAUUAUUUGAUCUUCUCUCAAGGAUAGGAAACCAAAACUCAAAAUUUCGGGCCUUUUUAACUUAUAGAUGAGAUUGUGAGAACACACGCAAUGGAGAGAGAAGAAGCCUCUCUUCUGUGUAUAAUAAUACAGAGAGAGAGAGAGAGAGAGGAGAGAGUCGUAAUAAUCCUUGUUAAGAGUGUGAGUGGCCUAGAAGUCUCAGUGUCUAAUGUGUUUAGAUUGCAAGUACUUAAUAUGAUUGACCCAAGAUGGAUAGGUCAUAAAAAUUUGUUCCUAGGAAGAGGUGUAGGGAUUCCCAGGAAGGGUGUGGGGAUGGCAUAAGGGGGUGGGCUGGGGACCGGAGGUCCUUCGUGGAUUUCCGUCCGCUGCUUUUCGGAUCCUCGUCUUGCUCGUUUCCCCGCCCCAGCAACAAGUCCUGCUUGUCCUCGUCCAUGAAAGCAUCGUAGAAUUAUUUAAUGAUAUAUUAAACUAUUUUUUAAUUUUAAAAUUUAAAUCACUUUAAUUUAAUUUUAGACUUAAUUUGAUUACAAUUAUCAAUUGGUUAAGUUAUAUUUUUCAUUAUAUUGCUCGAAUUUAUUAAGUGUGAUACAUCUAACAAAAUGUUUGAAUUAAAAUAUUUAUUAAAUUAAAAUACAUUAAUUACAUCAAAGUAACAAACUAUCUUUAUAUGAAUUAAGAACUAGUAUAAUAGACCGCAUUAACAGAUGAGAACUAUAGUAGUUACAGAUUUGAUUAAAAUAUUUAACUAAUUUAUAAGCUCCAAUGAAAAAUUUGAGAAAUCUGUUUUAGAGUAGCUGCAGCUAAAGUUCUAUGCAUUUUUACGAAAGUAGAGUAGAUAAUUUUACUUUAAUUUAUAAUUAAAAGAUAUUUUAAAUUUCAUAUUCGGGCGCACACGCGGAGCAGGGCAGUACCCUCCUGUCACAUUCUCUAAUUGCAGAGAUGAUUUAAUCACCGGCCCCCGCCCGGGAGGAGAAAAAUGUCCCGACCCCAUUUGGGAAAGGUCCCAUGGGGCAGGGUCACUGGCUACUUAUUGCAUCCAUAAGAAGGAGUGAAUUGUUUUCAUUCAGAUUGUUCAACUGAAAUAAAAAGGUGAGAAAAAAAUGGCUUUAAUUUUGAAUACAAUACAUUACACUCUAGGUUGUUUUGGCUGUAACUGUAACUAAUUUUACCAUGAUUGCCCUAAAUCUAACAGCAGGCGAAUCUAAAUGUUUUAUUUGAGCAAAUCUCACGAAAACAAUGAGACCGUUUCCACAGCAAGAUGAUUGCCUUGUCUUUCACAGAACGGGCAUUUCUAGCAGCAGAACGGAGGGGAAAACAUACCUUAGCACCGCGAUCUCCUGAUAGUCCUUUCAGUUAGUUGAGGCGAACCAUAUGACUCGAUGCUUCCAGUCAAUCCCUCUGAAAGAAAGAGCUAUCUCAAAGAACAACUCUUAUUCACCAAAAAUCUCUACAAGAACAGGACCCAUCUUUGAAAUGAUGAAACCUAUUCGCAUCCCUAACAAUGAUCUCCCGCCCGGAAAACUUAGACACAAGCUUUGUGAACUCAUGACAAUCACCGCACACUCUAAGGUUUUUAGUUAUUCUGAUAAUUGAUCCCUCAGAUGUAUGAAUCAAACCAAAUGCGAUUGCGAGCCUCUCACUAUGCCCCUGCAACAUCUUUAUCUUCUCUUCUUCUUCCAUGUCAUGCAGAACAAAACUAGUAUCCUCAGCGUACCCACCUUCCUUUUCCAAUUGCUGCGUGAUUUCGGCCAACUUCGAAUAAAUCUCUGCUGAAUUUUCAUGAGAAUUGUCUCUCGCUGUAAAAAUAUGCACUUUGUCGCCAACCUCAAUCCAACUGCAUGCUGGGUCUUUCCUCAAGCAUCUCAUGUUCAUUCUUGUUCUAACUUCCUUCGUAUCUUUCCACUUACCCAUUGCAGCAAAAACAUUUGAUAUAAGCACGUAAUUUCCCGGAUUUUCUGGCUCCAACUCUAUAAGCUUCCCUGCUGCAAUUUCCCCGAGCUCAUGAUUUUUGUAAAUUCGACAAGCUCCAAGGAGCGCACACCAUGUGGCAGAUGUAGGUUCUAUGGGCAUAGAUUUUAUGAAUUCAUAAGCUUCAUCUAUAUUACCUGAUCGACCAAGAAGAUCAACCAUGCAAGCAUAAUGCUCAGGCCAUGGAUCUAAUUUAUAUUGAUUCGUCAUCAUUUCGAAGAAUAACUUACCCUCAUCAAUUAGUCCAGAGUGGCUACAUGCAUUAAGAACGGCUAAAAAGGUUACGUGAUCUGGGAUUACACCCAUAUUUUGCAUACUUACAAACAGAUCGACAGCUUCCUUUCCUCGACCGUGCAUCCCGGCAGCAUUGAUCAUUGUUGUCCAAAGAACCAAAUCUCUGCAUUCAACUUCAUUGAAUAUUUUAUACGAAUCUUCUAUAUCUCCACAUUGCGCAUACAUGUCCGCUAAAGAAUUGAUUAAACUUCCAUCCAAGUUGAAAUUCCUUCUGAUAAGAACAGCAUGAAUUUCUUGCCCUUUCGUUAAUGACGACAAACCAGAAACAGCAGCAAGAAUACUCACCAGCGCCACAGAAUCCGGUUCAACGUUGGCUUCUUCCAUUUUUACAAAAAUCGCAAGAGCUUCCUUUAAAAACCCAUUGCAUGUAUAACAAGCGAUCAUACUAGUCCACGUCACAAUGUCUUUAUUCUCUAUCCUCUCAAAAACACGAAAAGAAUGAUCGGCCCGCCCGCACUCUCCGUAUGCAUCUAUAAUUGUGUUCUCGAGUACUAAAUCAAGUAACCCAUGUCUUGUAGCAUAACAAUGUAUUUGUCUUAACAGGGGAAGGCUUCUCAAACCACUACAAGCUUGUAAUAUGCUACCAAUCAUCAUUGCAUCGGCCUUCAUUCCCUUUUCCUGUACAUCCCUAAACAAUUCCAAUGCGUCAAAAUAGCGAGAGUUCUGAGCAUAAGCUGCUAUUAUUGUAGUCCAAGAUAUGUAAUCUUUAUCGGGCAUUUUGUUGAAUACACGAAUAGUGUAAUUUACGAUGCAACACUUUGUGUACAUGUCCAUUAGCGUGUUUCCGACCUGCAAAUCCGAAUCAAACCCUUGUUUUAUAGCAUAAGCAUGGACCUCCUUACCACUCCUUAAUUUCCCUAAACGACCCAAUGAAGAAGCGAUACUUAUAAUUGAAACUUGAUCUGGUAUAAACCCAAAAUCGAGCACUUCAUAGAAAAACUGAAUAGCUUCAUCGUAAAAUCCAUUUUGGACGUAACCGGAGAGCAUUGAAUUCCACGAUACAUUAUCUCUCUCACCCAUUUCUUCAAAUGCCUUAAUGGCAUCAUCCAUCCUACCACAUUUAGAGUACAUGACAACUAAUGCAUUGCUUUCAUAAAUUUCGAAGUCUUGUUUAUGCUUCACGAGCGAUGCAUGGAUCUCCAUACCAAAUUUAACAAGAGACAGUUCCGCACACGCUUGAAGCACACCGACAGCAGUAUAAGAAUUCAUCAUGAUACCAGCUUUUAGCAUGUCCCUAAACAAAAUCAAAGCCCUUAAAAACUGCCCAUUCUGCACGCAAGCCGAUAUGAUAGAAUUCCACGAAACAACAUCUUUACCAUCGCGCAACCGAUCAAACAACCGCAUCGCCGAAUCAAACAGGCCGCACUUUGCAUACAUACCAACAAGUGCAUUCGCCACGAAGGUAAUAGAAUCAAGCCCAUACUUAACAGCCGAGCCAUGAAUCUCAGCCCCACAGUACAAAUCUCCGACUGCGGCGCACGCCUUAAGUACAGAAGCAAAAGUGCAAGCGUCGGGCACGACUUCCAAGACCCGCAUGCGCUUAUAAAGUUUGAUGGCAUUACAAAACUGCCCGUUAGAAGCAUAACCGCCGAUAAGCGCAUUCCACGCGAAAAUCGUUCUGUGAGGCAUUUCAUCAAACAGAUGCUGGGCUUCGUAUAUAAGCCCACAUUUCCCAUACAUGAACAAGAUUUUCGUCGCAAGGAACCCAUCAUCAUAAAGAGAGCUAGAUUUUAUGAUGUGGGUAUGAAUCUGUAGCCCUUGAAAAUGUGCUUUUUGGGAAGCACAGAGCUCUAAAAUGGAUGAGUAGUCCUGUUGGGAAGGUGGGGUUUGAGGGCAUGAGUUAGAGAGAGAAAGGAAGGCCUGUUUUAGGGUUCUUGGCUUGUAGACAUCUGUGGGAGGAGUGAGAAAGUUAGGGUUUUGAGAGGGUGGAGAGAGAUUGGUGGGAGGGUUUGUGAGAGAGGUGGAGGUGGAAGAGAGGUGUUGUUUGUGUGUUGUGUGAGGUAGUAGUGAUAGGGCCAUAGAGAAGAGUGUUUUGUUACUGUUGUUUUGUGUGUGAAAUAAGCUCAUUGCAAACUUUGGACAUUUUGUUAUCUACUUAAUUCAAACCUCCAAAAGACCGCAUAUUGAACCUGGAGUAGAAUUUGGUUGGUGACAACUAUUUUAUCAAUAGAUUUAUACAAAUUACAAAAUGAUAGAUCCAACGCAAUCAUAUAUUACCUAAUAAAAGUUAAAUUAUAUAAAAUUUCUCUGUUCGUACUCGCUUUUCAUUUUAUCCCUAUCAUUCAAAAAUCAACACUUUGCCCAUUUAAAAAAUAAAAAAUAUCCACAAGGACACUUUUUAAUAAAGUAAAUAGAUAAUAUGCACUAUUCUUAUCACUAUUCUUUUUUAUUUCACAGGACUAAGCCUUGGAUGCUCAAUAUUUUCGAAUUGGAUCAUUUCAAGCACUUUAUUUCGCUCUUAGUUUAGAGUUUUUAUUAUCAUUGUUUUGAGAAGUUAUUAACAUGAAAUGUGAUUUUAAUGAGAUUGAAAACUUAAUUAUGUGGAUUGGUACAAAUGAUAUUGGAUGCAAAUAAUUAACUGUUAUCUUAUUUUGGUUGCGACAGUUGAACAUAUAAUCGCUUUUUGUAUUAUGGCGAAUAUAUUUUGAAUAUUGCCAUUUAUAUUAUGUUUAAAUUCUGGUUAAAUAGUAUUCAGUUAUUGUGAUAUGGUGAUAAUCUUUAAAAUAUUUUUUUAAGACCUAAUGAAUAGUAUUACAGAUUUUCUGUGGCAAAAUAAUAAACAGCCACAAUAUGUUAUAUAAAUAUAAAAUUUAAAAAUAUUACAGUGACCAAAACAACAUCUGGCCACAAUAUAUUGUGAAUUAUUUAUAACCAAAAUCAAAUUUCGCUAUAAAAAGUAUAAUAUUAUUUGUAAUCAUAUAUAAUUUUAAUUAGUACGACACCUUUUGUAACCAACUACUUAAUUUCGCCACAAUAGUUUCAACUCAAAUUGUGGCCGAUAUUUAAUUUUGCCACAAAAUGUGUGGCAUUAUGUGUGUCCGACAAAUUAAUUUCGUCACAAUAAAUUCAACGUUAUCUGUGGUUAGUAUUAAAAUUUGUCAUAAAUCAUAUGAUGCCAUUUGUAGCGAAAACUAAUUUCACACAAAAAAUUAGGUAUUUUAUUAUUAUUUUAAUCAAUAUCUGUAGCCAUAUGGCAAUCGAUUGUGACGAAUGGUAAAAAUUUUAUGGCGAAUUAUAUUACUGCAAAUUCAUUGAACAUUUUAUGGCGAAAUUUUUUUGGCCAUAAUAAUCUUUUGUAGCGGUUCUAUUGUGGCGACGCUGCGGAGAAAUUAAUGUAGCCACAAAAGAGCUUUUGUGGCCAAUUUAUUUAUUUUUGUGGCUAUUAGUUUUGCCACAAAAUGUCUAUUUUCUUAUAGUAAACGACAGAAAAUCAAAUGUAUUUUAUUAAGGUAAACUUCAAAAAUCACCCAUGUGGUUUCGCAAUUUCUCACUUUAGUAUCAUGUGGUUUAAAAUGUAUCAAGUUAGUGUCAUGUGGUUUUAUUUUUAUUUUUUCGUCAGCUUCUCCGUUAAUACUUUGUUAUUUAUAUACAAAAAACUUCGAAUACCCCACCCCAGCUAGGUUUAUCGAAUAUUUACUUUAAUACUCUUUAGUUAUAACUUUGUCACUAAUUUAAUAAAAAAAUUAGUGGAAUCGAUAAUAAAAAAAUAAAAAUAAAACUACUAAAAAUUAAAUUGAUAUAUUUUAAAUUACAGGGUACUAAAGUGAGAAAGUAUGAAAUCAUAGAAAUGAUAUUUGAAGUUUCCUCUUUUAUUAAUGCACCCUUCUUCUCAGCCAGAUAUAAAGUCGUACAGAGAUGACACAUGAAAUUAUAUGAUGGAACAAAAACUCGGGCCUCAAUGUAUAGUCAGUCAUACACGAUCAUAUGUCGGCACGGAGGGCACGGCCACGGACAGCUCACAAGUAUGUUUGUUUGUGUGAAAGUAGAGUAAAAGUGGAGAGGGAGAAAGUCGUUUUCAUUCUAAACGAUUAUUUUUGUUAUUUAAUUUACCAUAAAAAAGACAUGAGCAAAUCUUGAGUUAACUUAAAACAGCGUAAUUGUCUUCGACCCAUCACGUGAAGAAAGAUGAAAAAAAAUAAUAAAAUAAUAUAAUAGUUAAAAAUAGUUAUAUUUGAAUAUAUUUAAUUGUGGUACUAAUUACUCUUUUAUUCAGUUGGCAUAUUUAAAAUAUGAUAAAAAUUGAUUAGUUAAAUUUUAAUAUUUUCUUUAUUUAAUCCGUACAAUUAAAAUAUGAUAAACAUUGAUUAAUUAAAUAUUAAUAUUUUUUUAAUUUAUAGUUUUGUUGUUGCAUUACUAUAACUUAUGUAUAAAAAAAUAAUUUAGUUAUUUUAAAUUAAAUGUUAAUUAUAUAAAAAUAUAAUUAUAUUAUUUUUAUUUUUUAAAUUAUUUAUUAUUUAAUUAUAAAUUAUAGUUUUACAUCAUAUAUUUUCUAUUAAACAAACAAAUAACAGAAUUAAUAAAACUUCACUUCUAUAACUAUAAAAUAAACAAUGGAAAAGAAGUAAUUUUUACUAAACUCCACUUCAAUUCAAAAUUCAGUUUCGGUGAAACAAACAUGCCCUUUGCUCCUCUGAUUCACCCUUGGUUUCGUUUUCGGAUUCUUCCUUUUUAGGCUCCUCGUUUUUGGGAAUUCCUUCUAAAUUUCCUCAACUUAAAAGUUAAAACUAAUGAUUCCCGCCUUUAAAUUUCUUCCUCAAAAGUCACUGCAUGUUAAGAUAGCACUUAGCAGCAUCUGUGCAGUCUCCUACCGCUACCGAGACUCCGAGAGAUCUUUCUCCUCACCUUCCAACAUCUCCAUUUGGAACCCUGUCGAAUGUACAAACCAAAUCAAAUUUUAUUAAAACAAAAAAACAAAUAGUUUACAUCAUCGAGGAACUCCUCUUAAACACUCGCUGCUUUGCUCUGCUCCUCUAUUUCAUCUCCUUCAAUUUUUACUGUGAAUCGUAAGCGCUAACCAACUAUUUCAAAAACACGUGUUGAUAGGAAAGACGCACCCAUCGCACUUAAUUGCUCAGCUACUGCGCUCGUGGAUUUCGACCUGACUCAACGCACCUAGACGUUGGGUCUAUUGUUGGAUCUCUUGCCGUUAGGUCUCUUGUGGACCGCACCUCCACACAACUUAUUAGACUCACCCAACUCAACUCAUUAGUCUUCUGAACCUAUUAUCACGCGGCAGGAUGUCGGAACUAUUUUAGCCUAAUAAUAAAUAGCCAUUAGCCUAAUAAUAAAUAGCCAACACUUACGCCCUCUUCACCUUCCAUACACUAAUCAUCUUUGCAUGACCUACCUCCUUUCUCAAAAGACUCGUCAAAUAAAUUGUACCAUAUCUGUUAUCGUUACCGAGUAAAUCCUUUUCCGCCUUCGAACGUGAUCGAAUGGAACCCCGUCGAAUGAUAUGAUACAAAAAAUAUAUAAGAGCUUUAUUUGAAUAUUUCGAACCUAUUUGGCUUGGAUAAAAUAAGAAAAGUAAACCCUGUUCUUGAAGUGCCGAGUGCCCGAACUUUAUUCGAAAGGGAAAAUGAAAUGAAUAGAUGUUGGACAUUUUAUUCUGCUUUGCAUAGAGUGCAUAACUUUUGCCCAGGCCAACCAUUUUUCUCCAAAUUAAUAGCUAUGAGUAUCUUAUUUCGGCACAUCAGCCACAUGAAGAUCUUGGAUUUAAAGAGUUGAUGUAGUCUCUUUCAAAUAAAACUGAAAUCGUUGUCUUUAACACCCCCAAGUAUUUCUGCAAAUUAGUUUGUAAACUUUAUCAACAUUAGGUAUAUGGCUUUGAUCAGAAUUUGAUACUUCCAUAAUAAAUCUUCUUUUCUUUUUUUUUUUUCUCUUUCUUUUUUGUCUUUUCAUUAUAAUGAUGAGGCCUCGAUUACCAAGUAAAUUUUCAAGGAAAUGAAACAAAGGAAACCACAUAUUCUCUGUCUUUUUUUUAUGUUAAAAAAGUGUUGAGGCCUCAACACUUAUUUUAUUUUGUUCUCUUAAUUCUAAUUAAACUCACAAGGCUCAUCUUGACUCACUAAAUCCAAAAUAAGCUACUUACUCAACUUGACUCAAAAAGAACAAAUAGAAACUCAUUUAAAUAUUUAAUCAAAUAGAUUCCAAUAAAUACCAUUAUUUAUUCUAUCACAAGGGAAAAUUAGUAAGGAUAAGUUUAGCACUAAAUUUUAAUACAAAGAACACCCUUUAAGCACCCACUGAUCUCCUCCAUUUCGUCUCCUUGGGUUUCUUCUUGGACUCUUUGCCGGCUUGUUCUUUCCAUGGGAACAGUCCUCUGCAUAAUCCAUCUUCUUUCUCAAAACGCAUGUCAGUCUAACCACAUCUAGACCAUCUGCUGCCGCUACCAAAGAUGAUUAUAUAUAUAACAAAUAUCCAUCAUUGAUUCUUACCAAAAAUGACAAAAAUAUGAGACAAAAAAUAAAAUAACAAAUAUAAAACAUGAACAAUUUUAUCUUCUACCAAUAACAACCAUUCAAAUAUUUUAUUAUUCUUUAAAUAUCCAUCAUUGAUUCUUAGCAAAGAUGAUUAUAUAUAUGCACACACAAGGCUAGAUAGAAGAGAGAAGAGGAAAUGAACUAAACAGACGAAAAGAUUUGGAAGAGAUCGAGCAAAAUGUUCAGAAAAGGAUUAAGAAACACGAGGCUAACAAACAGGAGUGAAAAUAAAUCUCAUGAAAUUAAAUAUGUUACCGCGUCUACUAAUGCAGCUACUUUAAGAGCUUUCAUCCUGCAUUUUGUGCACUCGCCCAGCUUCAUCAGGAAAACCACCUUCCGCUACAAGGGCAAAUUUUUUCUUUAUUCAAUUUAGUUAAAUGAUUUUCUCCGAAACGAAAGUGAACAUAAAAAUAAAUACAUCGAUCCUAAUAAUUACCACUAGUUAUCAUACAGCAAAGAAUUCCAAAAGUUUGCUGAUUAAAAAUAAAAUAAAACAUAAUCAAAUAAAUGAUUACUACCUAAAUCGUACAAAUAUGUAUAUAUUUUUUUGUAACAUUAUUUUGCAAAUUCCAAAAGUACAGCAUAAGAUUGGAAAAAAAAAAAAAAAACUUACAGACCAAAUCUAGAAAUAUAAGUGGCCACUUUCUUUAAUAAAUGUAUUAUUUUUCGGAAUUGAAAAGCGCGUCCAUGCCACGUAGGCGGACGCGCUGGGGCGAAAGCCCCCGUCCGUGACGCGUAGUCUACCUGGAAAAAUUCUAGAAUGCAACGGGUAUAUUAGUGACGUGGCAUAACACACCAAUCAAAUUAAUCUUUUUAAAAAUAUAUGUUUCAUCAUGAUUGUAAAAAAAUAUUUUUAUUGUAUUUUUGUUUGAAAAAAAGAAAUAUGAUUGGCUUGUUAUUGAUGACGUGGUGCAAGUGUGACAGUGUAGAAUUCCUCCUACCCAUUGGGCGUUCUGUCAGACUUUUCCAAGAUGAUUGGAAAGCAAGUGCAUAGGGAAGUAGUCAAAGUCUACUUAGGUCUUCACAUACGAGUUCCAUUUUGAAAAUAUUAUUUGAGAAGCUUAAUCUUCUGCAUCUCCUCAGACCCAGCAAGCAAGACUAAGGCGGGAGAAAUGGCAGAGAUCGAAGGUGUAGUUAUAGAUUUCGGGGAUGGCUUGGUGAGUUCCGUGAGGCAACACCUCACCGCCUUGGGCGGUGUCAACCCGGAGAAUUAUACCAUCUUCCGCGUCCCUGCUCGCGUCCGGGGGUGCAACAAACGCCUGUACGAGCCCGAGAUCGUGUCGAUCGGCCCGUACCAUCACGGGAACCCGGCCUGUAAAGCCAUGCAGAUGUACAAAUGGCAGUGUCUCCGUGAUUUGCUUGCUCGCGGCCGCGACAUCUGCGUCGAUGACUGCAUCAGGAGGCUCAGGAAGCUGGAGCCGCGGGCGCGGCGGUGCUACUUCGAGCCCGUGGAGCUCGAUGGCGAUGAAUUCGUGAAGAUGCUGCUGCUCGACGGGUGCUUCGUAAUCGAGUUCCUGAUUAAAUGCUUGUUGGACAAGAAGAAGGACGCCGUGUGCAACACCGCUUGGAGCGGGCCGCUCAUCCGGUGCGAUUUGCUCUUGCUCGACAACCAGAUCCCCUUCUUCAUAAUUGAGAGUUUAUUCGCUCUUCUUGUCCCCCGCAGAGUCUCCCCUCUAAUGGAGCUCCUCGUCAUGUACAUAACAUGGGGCGAGAGAAAGGAACUCCCUGCAGAGCCAGGCAAGAAGAUUCAUCACUUGCUCCACGUCCACCACCUCUGCUUCGUGUCCACGAAAAGACCCAACAGCUCCACAGCCGGAAAUUCGAGCGUCGCCAAAUGGUUAUGGUUAAAACUGAAAAGGGCUCCUGGUUUGCUUCUCCCUCGUUUCUGCAUAUCAAAGAAGGGCGAAAAGAGAGCACCAUGCACAAUCCCGUGUGCUACCGAGCUCCAGGAGGCCGGAGUGACGUUUACAAAGAAGGAGGAUAAGAAGAAUAAGAAGGAAGCGAAUAGCUCGGGUUCUUUCCUGGACAUAACGUUUCGGAACGGCAUUCUCGAGAUCCCUUUCCUCUCGGUGGAGGACUCCACCCCAUCUGACUUCGCGAAUCUCGUGGCGUUUGAGCAGUGCAUGGGUAGCACAGAGGGGAGCUACAUGACAAGCUACGUGUGCUUCAUGGACUGCAUCAUUAACACGGCGAAGGACGUGGCGAUACUCCAGAACAGCGGGAUCAUCGAGAACAUGCUGGCCAGCGACGAAGAGCUCGCCAUCUUCCUCAACCAGCUCGGCAACGGCACGGUCAUGGACUGCGAGGAGCACUACCUGGCCCCGUUGUUUACGGAGGUGAGGGAGUACUGCGACUCGAAGAGGCACAAGUGGAGGGCCAAGCUGAUGAAGGACUACUUCAGCAACCCAUGGGCAAUCUUUUCCUUGGUGGCUGCUAUAGCACUUCUUAUUUUCACCUUCUUACAGACCUUCUUCACAAUCUUUCCGUAUUAUCAUCCUCGUAAUUAGUUAGGCUAGCACGAAUGUGUUACAUCUGCCCAAAUAGAAGGAAUAACAUUAGAGGUAGAGGUAGGAGCAGAGUCAUUAAGAGAGUCAAUAAGAGAAGAGGAAAGAGGAGAGCUUAGCUUUUCCUUGUGAAGCUUCGGAUCUGGGUAGGGGAGAUCAGUCAUGGUGAUCAGCUUCGUCGACGAGCGGAGUAAACAAGGAGCGGUGAAGGAAGUGGAAGCUCGAAGCAGGGUUAGGCUUCGGGUCGGAGUCCCAAAUUUCCGGAGCGGAGGAAAAAGGCGAACCCAAGAACCGCCGGACUGUGGAUAGUACGGAGAUGGACGAUCCGGCGCCCGCUUGCCCGCAUACAGGUGGAUCAGGCGGCCCGACUCGCGGACUGGGGGGAGAAGAGCGAACCAGUGACCGAUUACCCAAUUAGCAGGCGUUCAUGGACCGAACCAGCCACACUGGCCCAUAUUCCAUCGAACUCGGCCCACGAAGAAUCAGAGCCCUUCUUGUAUUUCAAUUCUCAUUUUAGCACUAUUCAAUUUAGCAAAUUGUAUAAGGGAAUGAAUGGGCAGAUUGUAACUGAACUUACAGAUUUUUAUGGAAAUUGUUAUCCCUCUCUAUUUUCAUCUUCUUCCCUCUUCUUCCUUCUUCUCCUCUCUGCCUCAAUACUCCCUACUCAUCUUCUCUUAUCCUUCUUUCUCUUUUCUUAAUCUUACCUUUUCAUUCUUAUUCUUGGAUUCGUCGCGCAUAUUCGAAUGAUGCAAGCAAUACGAUGCUGAUUAGUUAAGACCAUCAUCCUCGACGCCAUCCUCGUCUCAGCGAAAUAUCAUCAUCGACGGGUUGCGUGGAGUCAGGUACGUAACAGAAUGAUGCAGCAACAAGCAAAAAUUAAUUGAACCAAAAAGGUGCAGAAAAUAACAGCAUUGGUGCAAAGGAAUAAGUGAUGAACGGUUUGAGCUUUCAACCUUUAUUUUUUCAUCUCAGCCCAACUUCUCGGGAUUGGUUCAAAUCAUCCGUGCACGGAUCAUUGAGAUUGUUCUACUGUAACAACAGAAAAGGAAAGAAAAAAUGUGCUUAAUUUUGAAUACAAUGCAUCUACAAUUUUAGGUUGUUUGGCUGUAACUGUAACUAAUUUACCAUGAUGUUAAAUCUAACAGCAGGAAUCUAAAUGUUUUAUUUGAGCAAAACUGUACAUUGAAAACAAUGAGACCGUUUCCACAGCAAGAUGAUUGCCUUGUCUUUCACAGAACAGGCAUUUCUAGCAGCAGAACGGAGAGGAAAACGUACCUUAGCACCGCGAUCUUCUGAUAGUUCUUUCAGCUAAUUGAGACGAACCAUAUGACUCGAUGCUUCCAGUCAAUCACCCUGAAAGAAAGAGCUAUCUCAAAGAACAACUCUUAUUCACCAAAAAUCUCUACAAGAACAAGACCCAUCUUUGAAAUGAUGAAACCUAUUCGCAUCCCUAACAAUGAUCUCCCGCCGGAAAACUUAGACACAAGCUUCGUGAACUCAUGACAAUCACCGCACACUCUAAGGUUUUUAGUUAUUCUGAUAAUUGAUCCCUCAGAUGUAUGAAUCAAACCAAAUGCGAUUGCGAGCCUCUCACUAUGCCCCUGCAACAUCUUUAUCUUCUCUUCUUCUUCCAUGUCAUGCAGAACAAAACUAGUAUCCUCAGCGUACCCACCUUCCUUCUCCAAUCGCUGCGUGAUUUCGGCCAACUUCAAAUAAAUCUCAGCUGAAUUUUCAUGAGAAUUGUCUCUCGCUGUAAAAAUAUGCACUUUGUCGCCAACCUCAAUCCAACUGCAUGCUGGGUCUUUCCUCAAGCAUCUCAUGUUCAUUCUUGUUCUAACUUCCUUCGCAUCUUUCCACUUACCCAUUGCAGCAAAAACAUUUGAUAUAAGCACGUAAUUUCCCGGAUUUUCUGGCUCCAACUCUAUAAGCUUCCCUGCUGCAAUUUCCCCGAGCUCAUGAUUUUUGUAAAUUCGACAAGCUCCAAGGAGCGCACACCAUAUGGCAGAUGUAGGUUCUAUGGGCAUAGAUUUUAUGAAUUCAUAAGCUUCAUCUAUAUUACCUGAUCGACCAAGAAGAUCAACCAUGCAAGCAUAAUGCUCAGGCCAUGGAUCCAAUUUAUAUUGAUUCGUCAUCAUUUCGAAGAAUAACUUACCCUCAUCAAUUAGUCCAGAGUGGCUACAUGCAUUAAGAAGGGCUAAAAAGGUCACGUGAUCUGGGAUUGCACCCAUAUUUUGCAUACUUACAAACAGAUCGACAGCUUCCUUUCCUCGACCGUGCAUCCCGGCAGCAUUGAUCAUUGUUGUCCAAAGAACCAAAUCUAUACAUUCAACUUCAUUGAAUAUUUUAUACGAAUCUUCUAUAUCUCCACAUUGCGCAUACAUGUCCGCUAAAGAAUUGAUUAAACUUCCAUCCAAGUUGAAAUUCCUUCUGAUAAGAAAAGCAUGAAUUUCUUGCCCUUUCGUUAAUGACGACAAACCAGAAACAGCAGCAAGAAUACUCACCAGCACCACAGAAUCCGGUUCAACGUUGGCUUCUUCCAUUUUUACAAAAAUCGCAAGAGCUUCCUUUAAAAAGCCAUUGCAUGUAUAACAAGUGAUCAUACUAGUCCACGUCACAAUGUCUUUAUUCUCUAUCCUCUCAAAAACACGAAAAGAAUGAUCGGCCCGCCCGCACUCUCCGUAUGCAUCUAUAAUUGUGUUCUCGAGUACUAAAUCAAGUAACCCAUGUCUUGUAGCAUAACAAUGUAUUUGUCUUAACAGGGGAAGGCUUCUCAAACCACUACAAGCUUGUAAUAUGCUACCAAUCAUCAUUGCGUCGGCCUUCAUUCCCUUGUCCUGUACAUCCCUAAACAAUUCCAGUGCAUCAAAAUAGCGAGAGUUCUGAGCAUAAGCUGCUAUUAUUGUAGUCCAAGAUAUGUAAUCUUUAUCGGGCAUUUUGUUGAAUACGCGAAUAGUGUAAUUUACGAUGGAACACUUUGUGUACAUGUCCAUUAGCGUGUUUCCGACCUGCAAAUCCGAAUCAAACCCUUGUUUUAUAGCAUAAGCAUGAACCUCCUUACCACUCCUUAAUUUCCCUAAACGACCCAAUGAAGAAGCGAUACUUAUAAUUGAAACUUGAUCUGGUAUAAACCCAAAAUCGAGCACUUCAUAGAAAAACUGAAUAGCUUCAUUGUAAAAUCCAUUUUGGACGUAACCGGAGAGCAUUGAAUUCCACGAUACAUUAUCUCUCUCACCCAUUUCUUCAAAUGCCUUAAUGGCAUCAUCCAUCCUACCACAUUUAGAGUACAUGACAACUAAUGCAUUGCCUUCAUAAAUUUCGAAGUCUUGUUUAUGCUUAACGAGCGAUGCAUGGAUCUCCGUACCAAAUUUAACAAGAGACUGUUCCGCACACGCUUGAAGCACGCCAACAGCAGUAUAAGAAUUCAUCAUGAUACCAGCUUUUAGCAUGUCCCUAAACAAAAUCAAAGCCCUUAAAAACUGCCCAUUCUGCACGCAAGCCGAUAUGAUAGAAUUCCACGAAACAACAUCUUUACCAUCGCGCAACCGAUCAAACAACCGCAUCGCCGAAUCAAACAGGCCGCACUUUGCAUACAUACCAACAAGUGCAUUCGCCACGAAGGUAAUAGAAUCAAGCCCAUACUUAACAGCCGAGCCAUGAAUCUCAGCCCCACAGUACAAAUCUCCGACUGCAGCGCACGCCUUAAGUACAGAAGCAAAAGUGCAAGCGUCGGGCACCACUUCCAAGACCCGCAUGCGCUUAUAAAGUUUGAUGGCAUUACAAAACUGCCCGUUAGAAGCAUAACCGCCAAUAAGCGCAUUCCACGCGAAAAUCGUUCUGUGAGGCAUUUCGUCAAACAGAUGCUGGGCUUCGUAUAUAAGCCCACAUUUACCAUACAUGAACAAGAGUUUCGUCGCAAGGAACCCAUCAUCAUAUAGAGAACUGGAUUUUAUGAUGUGGGUAUGAAUCUGUAGCCCUUGAAAAUGUGCUUUUUGGGAAGCACAGAGCUCUAAAAUGGAUGAGUAGUCCUGUUGGGAAGGUGGAGUUUGAGGGCAUGAGUUAGAGAGAGAAAGGAAGGCCUGUUUUAGGGUUCUUGGCUUGUAGACGUCUGUGAGAGGAGUGAGAAAGUUAGGGUUUUGAGAGGGUGGAGAGAGAUUGGUGGGAGGGUUUGUGAGAGAGGUGGAGGUGGAAGAGAGGUGUUGUAUGUGUGUUGUGUGAGGUAGUAGUGAUAGGGCCAUAGAGAAGAGUGUUUUGUUACUGUUGUUUUGUGUGUGAAAUAAGCUCAUUGCAAACUUUGGACAUUUUGUUAUCUACUUAAUUCAAACCUCCAAAAGACCAUAUACUGAACCGGGAGUAGAAUUUGGUUGGUAACAACUAUUUUAUCAAUAGAUUUAUACAAAUUACAAAAUGAUAGAUCCAACGCAAUCAUAUAUUACCUAAAACACUCAUUAAUAACAUUUUAUUUUUCUAAAAUAACCUUAAUUGAAAAUCUGAAGUGCUAGGUUUCGAACUUGGAACUCGAGUACGAACCAUUAUCUCUUAUCACUUGCACUAAGAACCAAUAAAUUAAAUUUAAAGAUUCAUAAUUUUGAUUACGAAGUUUUCAAAUUUCAGUUACUGAAUUGCCAAUUCGAUUUGAUCAUCUCUACUUUCAAUUCAGACCGUCCACGAAAAUUUAUUUUUCAAAAUAAAUUUUAGAUUCAAAAUUUCAGAUGGUUUUGAAUUGAGAGUUGAGGAAGUGUCGUUACACUUAGGGCAUGUUUGUUUCGGUAAAAGUGGAUUUUGGGUUGAAGUGGAGUUCGAUAAAAACUACUUUUUCUCCGUUAUUUGUUCUGUAAUUAUGAACGUAAAGUUUUAUUAGUUCUGCUGUUUAUUUAGAAGGAAGUGUAUGAUGUAAAACUAUAAUUUAUAUAUAAAAAAUAAAUAAUUUAAUAAAUAAAAAUAAUAUAAUUAUAUUUUUAUAUAAUUAAAAUUUAAUUUAAAGCAACUAAAUUAUUUUUUAUACAUAAAUUAUAGUAAUAUAAUAAGAAAAUUAUAAAGUAAAAAAAUAUUAAUAUUUAAUUAAUCAAUUUUUAUUAUAAUAAUAAUCAUAUAUGGAUCUAUGCAGAUGUGUAUUUCCGUACGUUAUCCACUGUAUCGAUUGUUGGGAAUCCGGUACUCGUCCCGGUACCGGAUCUUGAGAAUCCGCAACCCGCUCUGAUACCGACUGCUGUGGAUUCGGUACCGAUUGUUGAGAUUCCGCAACGGAAGCGUCGAAUCGGCUUUUUACCAUAAACUCGUCUCCUCAGCAGAAGUUGAUACAAUCAUAAAAGAGAAAAAUAUGCGGGUAAAAUAAGAUUCAUUAAAUAAGAGAAGAUUACAUCUGACUCCAGAGUAGCUACAACCCGAGCCCUCUUUCUGAAUCUCUCCUACCCUUCUCUCGUCUUCUAUACUCCCAGAAGACAUCUCUCUCAUCCUGUGCAUCCGUGCCCAAGGUAUACCAAUGAUCCACGGCUACAAAAGCCGCACACGUCCUUUUGCACCCAUGCACUAGGUGCAACCAAAAUCAUGACCAUCUUGACCAUGUCAUAUGGGUGUGGCUAAUCCAUACCACCAUCAAAAUAAUAGCACCUAUGCUAUAUUUAUAGCUUACAUCAAAAGCUACCCAAAUUCUAGUAUAAUUAGGAUUCCUAUUCCGAUAAAUAUUUAAAUCUAUAUUUAGUUUAUCUCCAAUAGAUUUAAAUAUUUAUCAUAAUCUAGUUAGAUUUAUACUCUAAUUAAUAUUUAAAUCUUAAUUUAUCUUCAAUAGAUUUAAAUAUUAAUUCUUAUCUAACCAUGAUUCAACUACAAAUCUAACCAAAUCCUAACAUCGAUGAUAUUUUAAAACUUGCAUACAAUUUUAUUUAAAAUUAAAAAUUUAGAAUAUGUUUGGUACUACAGUUAAAAAUAGAUACAUAUCUAUUUAAAGAUAAGAAAUAUUCAGAUGACAACACGAUAUAUUGAAUUUAAUCUUCUUUUCUUUUCUUUUUUUUGAGAUAUAGAUAGUACGCUACCCGCUUCGUUUAUUUCAUUUAGAAAUAAACUUAGCUGGAAAUGUGAAUCAACUAGGAUUCGAACUUGGGUCUCGGGUACCAACAAACAAGCCCUUUGCCACUUGCUCUAGAGACGGUCGGUAAUUUAAUCUUCGUUAUCGUGUCCAACUCGUUCUAGUGUUGGAACAUUGUUCUUAGUUCUCAACAAUUAAAGCAUGUAACACAUUUUCUUUUUUGAAUAAUAUGAGAACUAUAUAUAUAUUUUUUUUUGAGAAAAAGGUAGCAAGCUACCUGCUUCAUUCAUUAAGCAAAAUAAAUUUAGCGUACAAGAUGGAAGCAGCUAGGGCCUCCAGACUGAGCCGGCGUCAGAAGAACAAACAAAAAAUAAAAGAAAAUAGGAACACAAAGUAGACAACGAGAAACAAACAAAUCGGGACCACAAAAUGGACAAAGUGAGCGUGAGAAGGUUCAAAGUGCUUUGUUCCAGCCUCUGAUCAGAGAAGUAACACGUUCGGUAGCCCAGGAAGCAUUAUGAGCCUCAUUGCCGAAGCAAAUGCUGUUUUGCUCCGUCCAUACGACCCACCAAAUUGCCACCAAAUGGGUUAAACUUUUUGAUCUUAUUAUGGGCUCGAGAUUCUCGGAGAUCUAUGUCCGAAGCCUCCGAACAUCCCCGCGUCCGAAUAAGCAGGCAUAACGGGUCCCACCAUAAUUCGAAAGUAACUGACAAAGAUACAGUCAUGGAAUAGGUGAUCGCAAGUUUCAGAAAGUAACGCACAGAACUUGCACAGUUGGUCCACCGGGCACCCACGGCGAAUCAAUCUGUCCGCUGUGAGUAAUCUCUUUCGAAGUAGAAUCCACACAAACACUUUAUGCUUGAGCGAGAUAUUAAGCCCCCAAAGAUGAUCGUACAAAGGAUCAAUCUAUCCUCCAUCAGUGAUAAAAUCGUAAAGGGACUUAACGGAAAAAAUUUGGUUCGCGAUCCAUCGUCAUUAUGUCUUGCGUGUUCGAUGGGCUAUACUGAGCAAGCAGGCUUUUGAGUAACGUAGUCUGCUGAUGGGUCAGAGGAGUGGUACUUGCAGCUAGGCCUCUAGUUAUGAAGCGCCAUCUCCAUCCUCUUUCAUUCCAGCAUUGAGAGACAAUAGCUUUCUGAUUUGCGAUUCUAUAGAAUAUUCCAGGAAAUUGGGUACUAAGAGGGAUUUCUUCAAUCCAAAUGUCCGACCACCACCUGAUGUUUUUUCCGUCUCCGAAUACGUAAGAAAGACCACAUUUGAACACUUCCUGACAACUCAUCACACUUCUCCACCACUGGAAGUGCGGUCUGAAAGAUCUUCCCUCAUAUAACGGCCUUCUUCUAGAGUAAUAUAAUGCGGUGAUCAACCUUCCCCAUAACAAUGCCUCUCAUUGAAGAAAUGCCACCACCAUUUAGCUAAUAGAGCAUUAUUCAUAGCUUCCAUAUCCUUAAUCCCCGGGCUCCCUUCUUUCCUGCUUUUACAUAUCGUUUUUCACCCAACGAGACAAGAAUCCCCUGAAAUUUUAGAGCACCCUUUCCAAAAAAGGGACUUUCUAAGAGCUUCAAUGCGAUUCAGUACCCAAUGUGGCACUUUGAAAAUUGCAAAGUAGAAUAACGGAAGAUUCGACAGUACCGAGUUGACCAGGAUGAGUCUCCCCCCAUGAGAGAGGAGUUUUGCCUUCCAUCCAUCUGCUUUGGUUAAAUCAAAUAUAUAUCUUUACAUAUUUUCAUAGUCAAACAAUAAUUUAAAAUUCCGUAAGACGCCAAAAAAAAGGAAAAAAGAAACAUCGAUCACAAACGAACCAACUAUAAAUCGAUCAUGCACGGAAGCAUUGGGCAAAGUGUGAAACAUGACAAUUCCGACGGUGGCUCUGCUUGCGGCGGUGAUUUUCGGAAACCGCAUCUUUAUCAGAAUCCACAAUUUUUUGGAGCAUAUCUCGAAAAAAGUCGACGCGGCACGGGAUAACCAUGGUACCGUCGUAGUCGAACCUUAGCUGAGUCGAGUCGAACAACCUCAUGAAGAGCACGUGAUGUAGGCGAACCUCCAGCACGUCGAACCACUUCGGCCUUUCCCCCUCCGCCCCCACCCUCACCGCAAUGCACCCUUCGCGCGGCUUUCGUGCCCAAAGCAAGCAAAGGCGAAAGCUCCGUUUUCGCUGCAUCUUUUCGGACCUUCUACUCAUGAUCAGUGAUCAGUACUAUCAACGAGAAACCGAACGCUGCAAUCGAAGAUCAGUUAGUUUGCAGCUAGAAGCAGAAGCAGAAGCGAGAGAUAAAAAAAACUCUUUGGAUGAGUUUUUAUGGGAGAAAAUAGAAAGGUUUGUACGUGUAUUUAUAACACAGCAUUGUGAAUGGUGCUCGAAUUGGAGUUGGACUAGGAAUUGUAUAGGCUCAUUGGAGUUGGACUAGGAAUUGCAUAGGCUCAUUGGAGUUGGACUAGGAAUUGUAUAGGCCCAUUGAUUAUUGUAUUUUCGUAUUUGUUAUCAAAAUCCAGUAAAUGAGUUGUUAGAAGUUCACAUUUUAUCUAUACUAGCUCCUAUUAAAACCAAUUAAAUAUAGGAUAUGAAUAUUUCGAUUGGAUUAAUUGUGAUAAUUAUGUCAAACUAGUGAAGUUACCCGCGCAUUGCAGCGGGCUAAUAUUAUAAAAGACAGAAAAUUAAUAAAAUAAAAGUUUUAAAACUUUUCGACUUGCCAUAAGAUAUCAAUAAAUAUAAAUAGUAUAAGAAAAAAGAGUAUGAAGAAAUUUUAUUUUACUCAUUUUUUUUUUCGAAAGUGAUUUGUUUAGAUAACAAUAGACCUGUAAACGUAUUGAUUGGAAAGUGGGCGGAUGGAAAGACGAAGCAUCAGACAAAGAUGGGAGGUCUGAAGGCGAAACAUUAGGAAAUGGUAACGGGGGAGAAGAUAAAAAGUGAAGGAGGAACAUGCGGCAAAUUUUAUGAGGUAUAAUGUAUAAGUGUAGAAGUAUAGAAGUAUAGAUUCUAAGCUUUAUAAGAAGGAAAAACUUCAGAAAACCCCCUUUGGUUUCGUAUUUCUCACUUUGCCCUCCUGUGGUUUAAAAUGUAUCAAUUUGCCCCCCUGUGAUUUUUUUUUCUCUUUUUCUUUUCAAUUUCAUUAUUUUUUUUAAAAUCAGUAAUAAAGUUAAAAUUAAAGGGUACUAAAGUGAAUAUUUGAUAAAUCUAGAUGGGUAUCUGAAGUUUUUUGUAUAUAAUUCAAUAAAAUAUUAACGAAAAAGCUACCGAAAAGAUAAAAACGAAACCACAUAGAGACAAAUUGAUAUACUUUAAACCACAAAAUACUAAAGUGAAAAACAAUGAAACCACGGCGGGGUUUUUGAAGUUUUCCCUUAUAAGAAUAGAAAUUGUUGUUACGAGUAAUAUUGAUAGACCCAAAUCAGAUGGACGGUUCAGAUCGAGGAACAAGGCCAGUGGGAAUUUUAAAGUCCACGUAGGAUACAACGAGCAACUCGGACGAGUUUCCAACUCAACUCGGCGAGUCUCCUCGGAACCCGUGUGGGUUCCUUCGGCCGGGGGGCUUUCUCGUGAUAAAAGGGUCGGCGGAAUCGACAGCUAAAAAGCCCCAAAUAUUCUCAACCAAAAAAAAAAAAAAAAAACGAAGGGUUCACGCCUCUCGCUCUCGAUCUCUCUCCCGAUCUCUCGAAGCGAAACCCUAAUCGAUCCCUCCCCUCUCUCUUGUCUCUCUAUCUCCGAUCGAAG